UACGUAGGGGGCAAGCGUUGUCCGGAUUUAUUGGGCGUAAAGAGCGUGUAGGCGGUUUGGUAGGUCCGCUGUGAAAACUCGAGGCUCAACCUCGAGACGCCGGUGGAAACCAUCAGACUAGAGUCCGGAAGAGGAGAGUGGAAUUCCCGGUGUAGCGGUGAAAUGCGCAGAUAUCGGGAAGAACACCCGUGGCGAAGGCGGCACUCUGGGACGGUACUGACGCUGAGACGCGAAAGCGUGGGGAGCGAACAGG
rnacentral:rRNA from 1 species